rnacentral:lncRNA from 1 species
CUUUCAAAGUGGCAUUGGGCUCAUGGGGAACUUAUUGCUAUUCAUUACAUAUAUGUACAUCUUCUUAUUUUGGCCCCAUCAGAAGAACCCCUUAGAUGUGAUUCUCAUGCACCUAACUUUGGCUAAUGUUAUAACAGUUAUCAUCAGGGGUGUUCCAUAUAUAAUGUCAUCCUUCAGACUUAGAAGUACUUUUGUUGAUACUGGUUGUAAAACAGGGCUAUACAUUUAUAAAAUGACAUGGGGCAUUUGUGUAUGUACUUCUUCUCUCCUGAGUACAUUUCAGGCUGUUAUCAUCUGUCCUUGUCAUUCCAAGUGGGCAUGGCUCAAACCUCAAAUCUCCCCAUAAAUUUUCCCUUAUUGAUUUAUUCCUAAACAACAGGCUAAUCAAUAUGUGGGUCAUUAUAAGCACCGUAGCCACCAGCAAAUCCACUAAUGUUGGACUUGUAUAUUCUCUGAUAUACUGUAAAACAAGACUGUUUAUAUACUACCAUGCAAUGAUAUUUCAAAGUGCCAUGUUUACUCAAGGUUUCCUCUUCUUGUUCCUCAUGAUUUGGACUAGUUUCUACAUGGUGACUAUUUUCUUAAGGCAUCAAAAGACGGUCUUUCAUAUUCACAGUAUCAGUCUGUCUCCACAAUCUUUUCCUGAAACAGAAGCCAGUCAUGUUUUCUUCUUGCUGGUGAGCCGCUUUGUUUUCUUUUAUGGGACUAACGUGUGUCUUUCCACUUAUAUUAGCUCCAUGUAUGAGAACAGCCUAAUCCUGGAGAACAUUACUAGUUUUGUUUCAUCUUCCUACCCAAUUAUCUGUACUUUGAUAUUGAUUAAUUAUGAUAAUAAAGUUUCCAGAUUAACCUGUGCCAUUUUAAAUAUGAUUAUU